UCCUGGGAUCAUGACCUAAGCCGAAAGCAGAGGCUCAGUGGGUUAAAGCCUCUGCCUUCGACUCAGGUCAUGAUCUCAGGGUCCUGGGAUCGAGCCCCAGAUCGGGCUCUCUACUCCGCGGGGAGCCUGCUUCCCCCUCCCGCUGCCUCUCUCCCUGUGAUCUCUGUCAAAUAUAUAAAUAAAAUCUUGAAAACAAAUACUAAGGCCAAAGCCCACACGCAGCCGUCAGCCUCCAUGCUCUAGGAAUCUUAGGGACCCCAAACCUGCAGGAAUUCUCUGGGGACACUUGUAAUUUAUGUCGAUGCGCCAUGACUGUCCUUGCCUCCAGGCCUGACCCACGUGAGGCAGAGCCUGGAACACCCUUAGCGAGGGUGGGACCUAUUCAGAAGGACACUCCAGCCCUGCCAGCAAGGAGGUGGGCCCUACCAUCCCACAGUGCGAGGGACACCAGUCUCAGCGGGAGGUGACCCCACGACUCAGACUCAGAAACAGUCGAGUCCUGGCCAACUGCAACGGCCGGCCCACAGAAUCUGGUGCCGGGCUGGACGAACCUGAACUGCACCAGCACAACAUGGCAAUGGCGGCGUUGUUGGUACUGAGGUAACAGGAUGACCCUGAUGACCUCUGGGGCAGACCCCUGGACUUGCCCUGUGACUUGUUAGUGAAGCCACCAAAAAAGCUGAUUCGGCAGCAGACGAGCCCCAAGCUUCUAGGUUUCUGAUAGUCUGCGUGCCCAGUGUGGGGCCUGAACUCACAACCCUGAGGUCCAGAAUUGCACAUACUCCAACGGAGCCAGCCACGGACCCCAGGACUUCCUUACACUCUUCUUUAAGUUUUUUGAGAUUUUAUUUUGUUUGUUUAUUCGAGAGAGAGCAAGUAAGGGGAAGAGGAGAAGCAGACCCCCCACUGAGCAGGGAGCCCCACCGGGGCUGACCCCAGGAGGCAGAUGCUCAAUCGACUGAGCCACCCAGGCCCCUUCUUUACACUCUUAAAACUGAGAACCACAAAAAGCGUUUUUAUGGGUUUUAUCUGUCCACAUGUGUUGUAUCGGAGGUUACAGAAACAGGAGCACAGCAGCACGCGCUGCGUUGGUUGUCCGCGACGCUGCCCGCAGGGGCACUGCCCUGCCCGUGAGGAGUGAGGAGGUCGCACAUACGUUCAGUGAAGAUGACGCCGACUGUACAGACCCUCAGAGCGUCUCCAGACCACAUUCUGAGAACAUAUGCUAAAUAAGCUUUUUUUUCAGAAACGUAAGUUCUGUGGUCAGUCUUGGUAAAGUUAGAUAUUAAAUUCGGUUGUAAUGUCAGACUUCCAACGGACAGUAAUUUGCUUACUAGACACACAGCUGGAGGAAUCAAACCUGAGAACCGCUACCUUCAUAAACGACCCCAAGAUUCGAGAUAAACGACGUGACGAGACCCCGGAUCGAUGGGUCAAACACAGAAACAUGAGCGCCUGCGGGGCUCCGUCGGUGGGCCCUGGAUCGAGAGCCCCGAUGGGCCUCAGGCUCACAGGGAGUCCGCGUGAGGCUCUCUCCCUCGCAUCUGCCCCGCCCCCGCGCCCCCCGCGAUGCUCCCUCCCUCUCCCUGAUAGACGGACAGGGCGCCCCUGUGACUCCGUCAGUAAAGUGUCCGCCUGCAGCUCCGCUCACAGUCCGGGAGUCCUGGGAUCGAGCCCCGCGUUGGGCUCCCUGCUCAGCGGGGAGCCUGCUUCCCCCUGCCCACCCCUUGCUUGUGCGCUCUCUCUCUGACAAAUAACUAAAAUCCUUUAAAUAAAAAUAAAAUGUCCUUAAAACAAGACACAGAAGCAAAUUGGGCAGAAAUAAAUGUAAAAUUCCACGCAUAAAAGACAAUUGAGAAUAAUUUCGAUUUCUGCUAACUAAAAAUCUAACACGCUGCGCGUGAACGGGCCCGCCAGCAGCACAGGCCGCGGAACGCGCUCGCGUGCAGACCACAACACGGCCCGUGCGCGGGUCCUGCGAGCACAUCCUCAGAGGACCUCCCGGACCCGAGCGCUGGAAGCGGGGCCGGGAAACGCCGCCGUUUCGGCUGUGACCGAAGGACCUGAGACCAGCUCAGAUACACGGAGCCGGGGCAGCGGCUCUGAGGCUCCGGGAGGCAAACCAGGGCCACCGGGGAAGGCGAGGGUGCUUUGGCUGGACAGGAGCCAGGCCGGCCCGCCCCACGGGGGCCGCUGUCCGAGAGCCCAGAGCCCCCCCCACGCAGACGACUGGCCUUCUGCAGAACCGGAUGGGACAGCGGAGGCCUGCCCCGGCCCCUGCACAGUCCAGAC